rnacentral:rRNA from 1 species
GAUGAACGCUGGCGGCGUGCCUAAUACAUGCAAGUCGAGCGAACGGACGAGAAGCUUGCUUCUCUGAUGUUAGCGGCGGACGGGUGAGUAACACGUGGAUAACCUACCUAUAAGACUGGGAUAACUUCGGGAAACCGGAGCUAAUACCGGAUAAUAUUUUGAACCGCAUGGUUCAAAAGUGAAAGACGGUCUUGCUGUCACUUAUAGAUGGAUCCGCGCUGCAUUAGCUAGUUGGUAAGGUAACGGCUUACCAAGGCAACGAUGCAUAGCCGACCUGAGAGGGUGAUCGACCACACUGGAACUGAGACACGGUCCAGACUCCUACGGGAGGCAGCAGUAGGGAAUCUUCCGCAAUGGGCGAAAGCCUGACGGAGCAACGCCGCGUGAGUGAUGAAGGUCUUCGGAUCGUAAAACUCUGUUAUUAGGGAAGAACAUAUGUGUAAGUAACUGUGCACAUCUUGACGGUACCUAAUCAGAAAGCCACGGCUAACUACGUGCCAGCAGCCGCGGUAAUACGUAGGUGGCAAGCGUUAUCCGGAAUUAUUGGGCGUAAAGCGCGCGUAGGCGGUUUUUUAAGUCUGAUGUGAAAGCCCACGGCUCAACCGUGGAGGGUCAUUGGAAACUGAAAAACUUGAGUGCAGAAGAGGAAAGUGGAAUUCCAUGUGUAGCGGUGAAAUGCGCAGAGAUAUGGAGGAACACCAGUGGCGAAGGCGACUUUCUGGUCUGUAACUGACGCUGAUGUGCGAAAGCGUGGGGAUCAAACAGGAUUAGAUACCCUGGUAGUCCACGCCGUAAACGAUGAGUGCUAAGUGUUAGGGGGUUUCCGCCCCUUAGUGCUGCAGCUAACGCAUUAAGCACUCCGCCUGGGGAGUACGACCGCAAGGUUGAAACUCAAAGGAAUUGACGGGGACCCGCACAAGCGGUGGAGCAUGUGGUUUAAUUCGAAGCAACGCGAAGAACCUUACCAAAUCUUGACAUCCUUUGACAACUCUAGAGAUAGAGCUUUCCCCUUCGGGGGACAAAGUGACAGGUGGUGCAUGGUUGUCGUCAGCUCGUGUCGUGAGAUGUUGGGUUAAGUCCCGCAACGAGCGCAACCCUUAAGCUUAGUUGCCAUCAUUAAGUUGGGCACUCUAAGUUGACUGCCGGUGACAAACCGGAGGAAGGUGGGGAUGACGUCAAAUCAUCAUGCCCCUUAUGAUUUGGGCUACACACGUGCUACAAUGGACAAUACAAAGGGCAGCGAAACCGCGAGGUCAAGCAAAUCCCAUAAAGUUGUUCUCAGUUCGGAUUGUAGUCUGCAACUCGACUACAUGAAGCUGGAAUCGCUAGUAAUCGUAGAUCAGCAUGCUACGGUGAAUACGUUCCCGGGUCU